rnacentral:tRNA from 4 species
GCGGACGUAGCUCAGUUGGUAGAGCGCGACCUUGCCAAGGUCGAGGUCGCCGGUUCGAGCCCGGUCGUCCGCUCCA